rnacentral:rRNA from 1 species
UGGGGAAUAUUGCACAAUGGAGGGAACUCUGAUGCAGCAACGCCGCGUGAGUGAAGAAGGUUUUCGGAUCGUAAAACUCUGUCAUUGGGGAAGAAUAAAUGACGGUACCCAAUGAGGAAGCCCCGGCUAACUACGUG